rnacentral:rRNA from 1 species
AACGAACGCUGGCGGCGUGCCUAACACAUGCAAGUCGAGCGCGAAAAGGGCAACCUGAGUAGAGCGGCGCCCGGGUGCGUAACACGUGGGUAAUCUGCCUUAGAGUCGAGGAUAACCUUCCGAAAGGUUGGCUAAUACUCGGUAAGCUUACGGUGUCUUCGGACGCUGUGGGAAAAGUAGGCCUCUGUUUACAAGCUUACGCUCUGAGAUGAGCCCGCGGCCCAUCAGCUAGUUGGCGGUGUAACGGACCACCAAGGCAACGACGGGUAGCUGGUCUGAGGGGACGAUCAGCCACACUGGAACCGAGACACGGUCCAGACUCCUACGGGAGGCAGCAGUGGGGAAUUUUCCACAAUGGGCGAAAGCCUGAUGGAGCAACGCAGCGUGUGUGAUGAAGGUUUUCGGAUCGUAAAGCACUUUCGACCGGGACGAAAAACCUCUGGCUAACAUCCAGGGGCCUGACGGUACCGGGAGAAGAAGCACCGGCUAACUCUGUGCCAGCCGCCGCCGUAA